GCCGAAAUAGCUCUGUUGGGAGAGCGUUAGACUGAAGAUCUAAAGGUCGCAUGUUCGAUCCUGGCUUUCGGCA
rfam:Orchesella cincta Ocin01_Sc4442, whole genome shotgun sequence.